rnacentral:rRNA from 1 species
CUGGGGCGGCUACACAUGCAGUCGAGCGGUAGCACAGAGAGCUUGCUCUCGGGUGACGAGCGGCGGACGGGUGAGUAAUGUCUGGGAAACUGCCUGAUGGAGGGGGAUAACUACUGGAAACGGUAGCUAAUACCGCAUAACGUCGCAAGACCAAAGUGGGGGACCUUCGGGCCUCAUGCCAUCAGAUGUGCCCAGAUGGGAUUAGCUGGUAGGUGGGGUAACGGCUCACCUAGGCGACGAUCCCUAGCUGGUCUGAGAGGAUGACCAGCCACACUGGAACUGAGACACGGUCCAGACUCCUACGGGAGGCAGCAGUGGGGAAUAUUGCACAAUGGGCGCAAGCCUGAUGCAGCCAUGCCGCGUGUGUGAAGAAGGCCUUCGGGUUGUAAAGCACUUUCAGCGGGGAGGAAGGCGGUGAGGUUAAUAACCUCAUCGAUUGACGUUACCCGCAGAAGAAGCACCGGCUAACUCCGUGCCAGCAGCCGCGGUAAUACGGAGGGUGCAAGCGUUAAUCGGAAUUACUGGGCGUAAAGCGCACGCAGGCGGUCUGUCAAGUCGGAUGUGAAAUCCCCGGGCUCAACCUGGGAACUGCAUUCGAAACUGGCAGGCUAGAGUCUUGUAGAGGGGGGUAGAAUUCCAGGUGUAGCGGUGAAAUGCGUAGAGAUCUGGAGGAAUACCGGUGGCGAAGGCGGCCCCCUGGACAAAGACUGACGCUCAGGUGCGAAAGCGUGGGGAGCAAACAGGAUUAGAUACCCUGGUAGUCCACGCUGUAAACGAUGUCGAUUUGGAGGUUGUGCCCUUGAGGCGUGGCUUCCGGAGCUAACGCGUUAAAUCGACCGCCUGGGGAGUACGGCCGCAAGGUUAAAACUCAAAUGAAUUGACGGGGGCCCGCACAAGCGGUGGAGCAUGUGGUUUAAUUCGAUGCAACGCGAAGAACCUUACCUGGUCUUGACAUCCACAGAACUUUCCAGAGAUGGAUUGGUGCCUUCGGGAACUGUGAGACAGGUGCUGCAUGGCUGUCGUCAGCUCGUGUUGUGAAAUGUUGGGUUAAGUCCCGCAACGAGCGCAACCCUUAUCCUUUGUUGCCAGCGGUUAGGCCGGGAACUCAAAGGAGACUGCCAGUGAUAAACUGGAGGAAGGUGGGGAUGACGUCAAGUCAUCAUGGCCCUUACGACCAGGGCUACACACGUGCUACAAUGGCAUAUACAAAGAGAAGCGACCUCGCGAGAGCAAGCGGACCUCAUAAAGUAUGUCGUAGUCCGGAUUGGAGUCUGCAACUCGACUCCAUGAAGUCGGAAUCGCUAGUAAUCGUAGAUCAGAAUGCUACGGUGAAUACGUUCCCGGGCCUUGUACACACCGCCCGUCACACCAUGGGAGUGGGUUGCAAAAGAAGUAGGUAGCUUAACCUUCGGGAGGGCGCUACCACUUGAUAAGG